rnacentral:rRNA from 1 species
UACGGAGGGUGCAAGCGUUGCUCGGAUUUAUUGGGCGUAAAGGGUAGGUAGGUGGUCUCAUUUGUCUGGGGUGAAAGCCUUGAGCUUAACUCAAGAAGUGCCCCAGAAACGGUGAGACUGGAGUCCUAGAGAGGGUCGUGGAAUUCCCGGUGUAGCGGUGAAAUGCGUAGAGAUCGGGAGGAACACCCGUGGCGAAGGCGGCCAACUGGGCCGACCCUGACGCUGAGGCGCGAAGGCGUGGGGAGCGAACGGG